rnacentral:rRNA from 1 species
UACGUAGGGGGCAAGCGUUGUCCGGAAUCAUUGGGCGUAAAGAGCGUGUAGGCGGCCCGGUAAGUCCGUUGUGAAAGUCCAGGGCUCAACCCUGGAAAGCCGAUGGAUACUGCCGGGCUAGAGUUCGGAAGAGGCGAGUGGAAUUCCUGGUGUAGCGGUGAAAUGCGUAGAUAUCAGGAGGAACACCGGUGGCGAAGGCGGCUCUCUGGACCACAACUGACGCUGAGGCGCGAAAGCUAGGGGAGCAAACAGG